rnacentral:lncRNA from 1 species
GGAGAUGGUGCCCUGAUAGAACUGGACCUGAAGCUCUGCACUUGUGUGCUUCAAUACAAACCAGGUUUCUGGACUCACACAGACUUGAAACCAAAGCCAGGCUCGACCACAGAUAGUUCGAGGCUCCAGGAUGUUCCUGAGAUGGCGAAGCUGGCAUCCCUCACGGUCUGAAGGCAGGGGAGGCCCUGAGCUAGCCAAGGAGACCUCACACUGGAACACGAUGAAACUGUCUGUCAGAUGAGGCUCUGCAAAGUGAGUCAUCUGAUGGCGCCAAGCUGCUCACGGCUUAUUAGACAGUAACACGGCGUGCACUCCAGAGCCUCCACUUCCAAACACAGCCAGUGGUGAGCGUGUUCUCGGAGUCACAAAGAUCACAUGCAGAGAGCCUUGGAGCAGGAGGGGAACCCAGAGGGCCUUGGAGAUCAGAGGCCCAGAGAGGGAAAGCGACCUGCCCAGGACCUCCUAGUAAACUGAUGAGACACGGUUUGAGAACCCUCUUUUUCCCCAGCCUGCACACCUCUGUCCUUAUGUUGCACACGCCCACGUGCCUCUGGCUGUCUUGGGGGCUCUGGAUUCGAUGGCUGGGCUUUCCCUCUCAAUGCAGGAGCCCUCAGUCGGUAAGCCUACUCACCCCCUUGCUGAGCACCCCCUGGAAGCAAGAAAAUUGGAAAGAGACAGCUGGGCUGGAGUCUUAACUAUUUUAAUAACGUUUGGUACCAUGGCUGUUGCUGGGAGAUUAGCAGGGAAAUGUAACGGUGUGUAAUUUUUCCUAAGAAUUGCAUUAACAAAAUCAAAUGGGCAGAUGGAGGUGGAAGUUGGGGGGCAGGGAUAGAGCGCUUUCUGGAGGCUUCCUUGGGAGGGAGUUUCUAGGCUCAGGACCUCAGCAAAGCUCUGGGGUGUAAGUGAGAGCUUUCCUUGAGCCAUCUCUCAUCUUUCCUAUCCCUGCCUGUCCUCCAUGUGGGAGGAGAGGCAAGGCAGGGGAAAGAGAAGAAGGACUGGGUUCAAAUUUCUAUCCUGCUGCUUUCUCACGGGGGCGGGGGGGGGGGCUUAGAUAAGUGGCUUUACCUCUCUUGAGUGUGUGCUUCCUUGCCUGUAGCUAGGGGUAGCCAUGCAAGGCUCUUCCAGGGAUCAGGAUGCUAAGCGUGGUGUCUGAUGCAGAGUGGCCUGGGAUGGACGCCUGUCUGGUUAACUCUCCAAAUGUCCACUCUCUGGCCCACCCAGAUCAUACCAUCUACCUCUCAUGCUCCACUUUCUAUAGCAGGAGGCUUCUCUGCAUGUCAGGCCAGGGCUGCGGCCAAGGACAAGGCCAGAGAAGGCAGGACCUCUUUCCUGCAUACAGGGAGCUGAGAAGGCCAGGCAUUCACAUCCACUUUUCUUCAGCCUGGCAGCAGAUUUAAGACACUACAGAGUGUGCUCUCAGCCAGAAUCACCCGAUCUGUCUCAAAAACCCUGAGAGAAAGGGGGCUACUGGGCCCCAUUUUACAGAUGGGGAAACUGAGGCUCGGACAGAUUGUCAGCAGGUCAGUAGCAGAAUUAAAAAUGGAGCAGAAAUACCAGAUGGGAAAUCCCAAAUUCUUCUUGCAACAUUCCUUUGUCAUAUAUCUUCCAUCCAACUUUUUACACAUUUUCUCAUUUUCUCUUUGGUUUGCUUUUGCACCAUCAACUAGACUGUAAGCUGCUUGAGGGUAGACCUUUGUGCUUACCCACUACGUUUCAUGAGACUUGGCACACAGCAUGUGCUCAGGUAAGACAUCAAAUUAAAUGGGCAGAGACCUGGUGAGGUACUAUUUCCUUAGUAAGUCCAGGCUCCGAGUUGUCCCUUUCUCCCACACUCCAGCCUACAUACACACACGCCACACACACAUGCCACGCACGCAUACACGGCUUGCAGAAUCUAAUAACAACCAGUUUAAAAACAUACUAAAAACAGAAAAUUUAUGUAGCAUGACCCAAAUUGAAUUAUACAUUACAGCACUAUAAUUGAUUUUUUAGA